rnacentral:lncRNA from 1 species
GUGAAGUCAAUGCAGUAACCUGCCUGUUGUUUUUUUUCUUUUUUUUUCUUUUUACAUAGAAGAAUGAAUAUUCCAAGGAAAAAAUGAAAUGACUGCACAUCUAAUUAAACUGAAGUCACUGCACCAUCCAGGUAUUUAUCGCCAAGGCUUCUGAGUUCCUGUCACACCUUCCAUUUUAAGAUUUGGGCAACCAGAGACCGUGGCAUCACCAAGUCAGCCUCUACUAGUGAGUUUCAUAUGGAGAUCCAGCUGCAAAUUAAACCUACCCUGCCUUAAUAGAACCUGUGGACAGGGGGAUUGCUGAAAAUACUACAUGCCCUCCCUUGAGCUCAAUACUCCUGGAAUGCAGCCAACUCCACUGGCACAGGUUUUGGGGGCUGAUCCCCCUUCACAAUUCUUCUCUUCGUAUCUAUUAAAGAGGAAGAUGGAGCAGACCUUCAGGUCAGCCAAAGAUACAGAGAUUUUUGGUGAGCUUUCUUCCAACUAUAGAAAAUGAAGAUAGUCAUUUCAGGACAUUACAUUAAGAUAAAUUUGAGCGAGAUGGAGAAGAUGGGAUAGACAUAUAGAAUGGCAAGUAGACCAAUUUCAGCUUGUGUUCUAAUUACUGCUUUGUAAGUUUAAGCAGAGAGACU